rnacentral:rRNA from 1 species
GAUGAACGCUGGCGGCGUGCCUAAUACAUGCAAGUCGAACGGAGCUGUUGUAGCAAUACGGCAGUUUAGUGGCGAACGGGUGAGUAACGCGUUGGUGACCUGCCCCGAAGAGGGGGAUAACAGUCCGAAAGGAUUGCUAAUACCCCAUGUGGUUGCCGGUUUUAGAAUCUGGCAACUAAAGUCGUAAGACACUUUGGGAGGGACCUGCGUCCCAUCAGCUAGUUGGUAAGGUAACGGCUUACCAAGGCGACGACGGGUAGGGGACCUGAGAGGGUGGACCCCCACAAUGGCACUGAAACACGGGCCAUACACCUACGGGUGGCAGCAGUAGGGAAUAUUGCUUAAUGUGCGAAAGCGCGAAGCAGCAACGCCGCGUGUGCGAUGAAGGCCUUCGGGUCGUAAAGCACUUUUUAGAGGGAUGAGAAAGGACAGUACCUCUAGAAUAAGCCUCGGCUAACUACGUGCCAGCAGCCGCCGUAACAC